rnacentral:lncRNA from 1 species
UCCACUCUUAUUUCCUCUUCCUGAGAGUUUUUUUUCAUCUUAUACAACCUCUCAUACUUAUACUUGAGUGUUUGAGUGUUUAUCUAUAAAACACAAACACUUGUUGUAAUUUGAGUGUAGCUUAGACAAAAUACCUUGGUGAGAGUUUUUGAGUGUUUCUCUUGUGAAAAACCAAACACUUAAGAAUUGGCGUGCUUUCUCUUGUAAGUAAAAUACUAAGAAGUUUGAGUGAAACUUGGACAAAACCACUUAUAAGUUUGAGUAAAGCUUGGACAAAAUCACUCGUGUAAAAAUGAGUUGGGCACUUGGACAACCAACACCCACAUUGUAAUUGUUGAUUGCAAGUUAGUCUAUCUAGUUUUUUCUCAGCACAAAAGUUCAUGAACCUAUAAAUUUUAUGUCCUAAUGAAUAAUUUCAGAUGUGAUAAUCUUGGCUUUUAUUUAUUUAAUUUAUUAUGCAUAGGGUUUGGGAAGAGGGUGUUGCAGGGUGCUGGAGGGGUGGGGUGGGGUGGGGUGGGGUGUGGGGUGGGAAUUUGGGGUUCGGGUUAAUAUGAGGGCGUUAUGUUGAUCAAUUACCUAAAAUUUUAAAAAAAUUACACAAAUAUUAUUUUUUUUGAAAAAAGUACAAGAAAAAAUUUAAUGUUUUAAACAAUUUUCAAAGAAAACAUUAAUUUUUUAUUUUAUUUUAUUAAAAUCAUAAAAUUUUAAAUGCAAGCCUUUUAUCAAUGUUUGUUGGAUGCAUGCCUAACGAAUAGAAUACAAGACAAAUAAUAAUAGCAUCUCUUUCCUUACAAACAUAGUAAAAAUGACAUGUUAUAUGACAUCUUUUUAAAGUUCGUGUAUAUUUUUUUUAAAUUGUCCUAAAAUAUAAAGGGUCAUAGCUCUCAAAAACUCUGGGCAGUCUAGCUUGUCUAUUGGACUGUGAUUAGUAUUUCUCUUCAAUUAAAAAUGAUUUCGAGCUAAUUAAUUAUUUACAUAUACGGAGCUUAAAAGUCAUACGUACUUUAUUCUUACAAAUAUUCUACGAAGAAAAUUCUACAAGAAUAACGUGGUGUGGGUAUUUUAGUAACCUAGUGUGAAGGCACGUGCGAUGCACGUGGUGGAUUUGCUAAAUUGGGUCAUUGUAUCGCCAUAUAAGGUUCAUCUAUAUUAUGGCCGGCCUAGUUUGUAAUGAAAUGACUUUGUUAAAAUUAUUUUUGUCAUUGGUUAAUGUUUUUAAUUUUUUGGUCAAUUUUUGAUUUUUUUUCAUUCCAUCUUCAAAUUCAUCAAGGAAUUGAUUGAAUAUAAUAUAUUUUUUCUUAGAAAAAACAAUACUAAAAUCUAAAUUAUUUUUCAAAAUUUAAUAAAAUAAGUAAUAUUCAAAAGAAAUGUAUGACUAAUUUGUAAUUCUUUGGGAAGAACUUUUCGAUAUCAUUAUCCAACAAUAUUUUAAAAUAAAUUUGAACUUGCAAUAGAAGCAUCAGAACUAAUUUUGAACUAUUGUCAAGAUUUCCUCAAGAGCUAUUUUUUUAAAAAAAAUAAAAAAUUAGCCUUAUAUUUAGGGAUUUUAAUUAUUUUCUCUCAUUACAAAAAACACCAAUUAAAAUAAAAAUAAAUAUUAUCUUUAAAAAAAUAAUAAUAAAAUUUAUUUUCUAUGUAUGUUUAGAUUAGAAGCCCUUAAAAUUAAAAUUAAUAUAGAUCAAUUUUAAAAUAAAGAUUUUUAUAUUGAUAAUAAGUUUAUUUUUUUAAAUACGUUUCGUUAGGAGUACUUUAAAAGAAAGUAAAUUAUGAGAUUCAAUUUUUGUUUUUUUUAACGAAAUUACGUGUUGAUAAAAAAUUAAAAAUCACAAAUUAAAUAGUUUUUACCAUCACAUUGUAUUUUUGUUUAACAAAGAAUAAUAUUUGUGGUUUUUAAUGGAUGUCUUUGAGAAAUAAAAAUUAAAAACUCUAAUAUUAGUUCAAUCUUAUCGUUUUUGUAUAAAAAAAUUUCAUUGGAAAUCUUGACAGUCAAGGAUGGAUCUAGGGGAGGGAAUCACACCCCCAAAAGUUUGAAAAAAAUCGCUAAUUACACUAUAAAUUUUAAUAUAAUUUAAAAAUUAUGUAGGUUAGCCCCCAAAAAUUAUAUACUUUCGCCCCCAUAGUAAGAAUUAUGGAUCCAUAACAAUAAUUUUUAUGAAAUUAUAGGAAAUAUGACUAUCAGUGAAAUUUAUACCUCCAUGUAUAACUGUAUUUUGUAGACCAAGUUUCUCUCAACUUCAAGUCAAUUCCACUGCACUCUCUCUCCAUUGUGUGAACACAUCACUAUGAGCAUGGUACAUAAUAAAUGGUACAUCUCCUUCACAAACAAACGUGUCUUUAAUUUUCUAGUAGCACAUACAACGAAUAAUAAUGUGAACCAAUAAAUGGUAUGUCUUUAAUUUUCUAGUGGCAGAUACACCUAAUAGUCAUGUGAACGAAUAAAUGGUAUGUCCUUAAUUUUCUAGUGGCAGUUACACCAAAUAGUCAUGUGAAACCAAUAAAUGGCUGUCUUUAAUUUUUUUAGUGGCAGAUACACCUAAAUGGUACGUCUCCUUCUUGACUAUCAUGUGCAUCUACCAUUAGAAAAUUAAAGACGUGUUAGUGUGUGAAAGAGAUGUACCGUGCACCAAUAAUUGUCAUAAAUUGAACACAUGACUAUUAUUGGUGCAGGAUGCAUAAUUUAGGACAAUUAUUGGUGCAUGAUAGAUAUUAUAGAGCACGCUGUUUGUGUGACGCCACGGGAAGCAGCCACAAAAAAUCAGGGCUGAGCCCUAUGAAGAUAAGUGGGGUUAAUUGAUCCUACUGAGAAAAAAAUUACACUAUUUUUUUAAAUAUAAUUUAUUAUAAAUAUAAUUUUAACCCACAAAAAUUUAAUAAUUUGUCCUAAAUUUUAUAAAUUCUAUAAUUUUGACCCCACUGAAUAUUCAUUUUGGCUUCGCUCCUCACAACAACAGAUAUGACCCACCACGGAGGUGAAGGUGAAAAACAGGAGAAUCUCGGCCACAACAACAGAUAUGACCCAUCACGGAGUUUGGAAACAGUCACGACUGUUUGUGUGGAGGUGAGCAAAUGGAGAAUCUCAGCCACAACAAUAGAUAUAACCCGCCACGGAGGUGAAGGUGAGCAACAGGAGAAUCUCAGCCACCACAACAUAUAUGACCUACUACGGAGUCUGAAAAUAGUCACGACUGUUUAUGUGAACGUGAGUAACAUGAGAAUCUCGGCCACAAAGACGUAUAUGACCCACCAUUGUGUUUAGAAAUAGUCACGCCUCAAAGUGGCCUUUCACUUGUACCAAUUUUGCAGUGGUCAUUUACCUGUUUGUAAAAGUUGGGGAAAAUAAGGUGUGGGCUUGGGGCCAUGAAAGCUUUUUGUUGAGUUUUGUUAAUGAAUCAAUAAUAGACUCUGCUUUUGAUAAGUACCCGUCCCUGUGUCACUUUUUUGGAAGAGUCGAUGAGAUUUGUCAGAACCAAACAUAUUGAGUCAUGGAAACCCUCAUUAUAAACCCAAGUAGACUGAUUUGGAUAGAAAAUCAAAAAUUACAAGGUUCAAAUUGUAAGAUUUAAAAAUACAAGGUCAAAUUUUGGAUGGAUAAUAAAACUUACAGGGAUCAUUUUUUUAAUUUACCCUAUAUUUAUAAUGCUUCAGUUGAGUCCCACUUUGGAAUUGGGUUUUAGAGAAAGCUUUUUUUGGUGGGAGGAAUCUAUUGAUGCAAAUAUGUUGAUCGUAAUUAAGUUAGUUGAUCUACUCCCAAAGGUGAUAUAUUAAAGGAAUAGUUGAGAUGAUGGGAUUUGAGAUGAGUGGUUGUCACAGAAACAGUGAAUUAGACGUUAAAGAUAAUAGGUCUAUCGAGUUUUUUCAUAGCACAAAAGUUCAUGAAUCAAUAAAUCUUAUGUGCAAGAAUGAAUUUCAGAUGUGAUAAUCUUUGGCUUUUAUUUAUUUAAUUUUAAUACGCAUAGAGUUUGGGAAGAGGGUGUUGCAGGGUGCUGGACUGGGGUGGGUGGUGGAUUGGGGAGUUAAGAUGAGGGCAUUAUGGGUUUUAUUGUGUUUGCACUGCAAUCAAUUACCUAAAAUUCUAAAAACAAUUACACAAAUAUUAUUUUGUUAAAAAAAUUACAAGAAAAAUUCUAAAGUUUUAAACAAUUUUCAAACAAAAUAUUAUUUUUUUAUUUUUUUAUUAAAAUCAUAUAAUUUUUGAAUUAUAUAAAUGCAAGCCUUUUAUCAAUGUUAGUUGGAAGCAUGCUUAAGAAGAUAACUAAUAAUCGCAUUUCUUUCCUUGCAACGUGGUAAAAAUGACAUGUUAUAUGACAUCUUUUUAAAGUUCAUGUUGUUGGCCCAAAAAGCAAUCCAAGAGGGGAGAUGAAUUGGGUUUUUAUAAAUUAAUAACAAUUAUGAUUAAUUAAAACUUAAUCUAAUUAAUCAAGCUAUAGAUGAAUUUAUAUGCAAAACAAUAUAAGUAAGAAUUAAGGAAAACAAAGAUUUACCGAGAUUCGAUCACAACGUGUGAUCUAUGUUCUCCCAAGACCUCCGCAAAUCCCAUUUCCAUCUCAUAAUAUUAUUCCUUUAAAUAAUUAUCAUCUAGGGAGAGACUUAACUUAAUUAUGAUCAACAGAUUGUCAUCAAGAGAUUCCUCCCAUCCAUAAAAAGCUUCUUCUAAAACUCAAAUUCCAAAUUAGGACUCAACUGAAGCAUUAUAAAUAUAUGGUAAAUUAAAAAAAUGAUCCCUGUAGUUUUAUCCAUCAAAAAUUUGGACCUUGUAUUUUUAAAUCUUACAAUUUUAACCUUAUAUUUUGAUUUUUUGUCCAAAUCAGUCUAAUUGGUUUAUAAGGAGGGUUCCAUGACUCAAUAUGUUUGGUUUUUGACAAUCUCAUCGACUCUUCCAAGAAUGUGGAGGUACUUGUCGAAAGCAGAGUUAUUAUUGAAUCUCAUUAACAAACUCAGCAAAUAAGCUUUCAUGGCCCCAAGCCACACCUAUUUUUCCAACUUUACAAAUAGCUAAAUGACCACUGCAAAAUCGGCACAAGUGGAAGGCCACUUUGAGGCGUGACUAUUUCUAAACUCCAUGGCGGGUCAUAUAUGCUGCUGUGGCCGAGAUUCUCAUGUUGUUCACUUUCACAUAAACAGUCGUGACUUUUUUCAAACUCCGUAAUAAGUCAUAUAUUUUGUGGUGGCUGAGAUUCUCUUGGUUCUCACCUUCAUCUCCGUGGCAGGGCAUAUCUAUGGUCGUGGUUGAGAUUCUCCAUUUGCUCACCUCCACACAAAUAGUCAUGACUAUUUCCAGACUCCGUGAUGGGUCAUAUAUGUUGUUGUGGCUGAGAAUUUCUCCUUUUUUUCUCACUUCACCGUAGGAGGGAGAAGAAAAAAAUAGAAGGCGGAGCGAGUAAGGGAAGAGGAAAGAGAGGAAUACGAGAGAAGGCAAGAGGGGCCAUUGGAGGGGAUGGAUGGUGUAAGAAGAGGGGAAUGUGGAAGGAGAAGAUGAAGAGUGAGAAAGGAAAAGUAAAAGGGGGGGAAAAAGUGGAAGAAAUUGAAAGAGGACAAAGAGGGAAAGGGCCAGGAAGAAAAAAGACAGUUAAAAGACGGAGCAAAAAGAGAGGGGGGAGACAAGAAAUCCGUGGCGGUAAUUCUAUUGUCGUUGAUAAAAUUCUCCUGUUGAUCACCUUCACACAAAUAGUUUUGACUAUUUUCAGACUCCGUGACGGGUCAUAACUGUUGUUGUCAAGAGCGAAGCCAAAACAAAUAUUUAGUGAGGUCAAAAGAGCUUAAAUUUAUGUUCAGCGGUGGCAAAAGAGCUAGAUUUAUAUUUAAUGAGGUCAAAAUUAUAGAAUUUAUAAAAUUUAGGACAAAUUACUACUUUUGGUGGGGUUAAAAUUGUAUUUAUGAUAAAUCAUAUUAAAAAAAUUAGUGUCAAUUGCCUACUUGUCCUCAUAUAGCUCCAUCCCUGGUUGUUGUGGCUAAGAUUCUCCUGUGGCUCACCUUCACACAAAUAGUGUGCUCUAUAAUAUCGUAUCGUGCACCUAUAGUUGUCCUAAAUUAUGUACCAUGCACCAAUAAUAGUCGUGUGUUCAACUUAUGACCAUUAUUGGUGCAUGGUACGUCUCUUUCACACACUAAGCAGGAUUUUAGGUCAGGGGAUUAAAGUGUAAAUUUAUAAUAUAUUUUAAGAGAAAUUAAAGUGUAAAAAAUUAAAAACCUAGACUAAAUUUUAUAUUUUUUUAUAAGUGAGGGGCUUAAAAGCUUCUUGGAUCCGCGAUUGCUUACACGGCUUUAAUUCUCUAGUAGUAGUGUGUAUCUACAACUAGAAAAUUAAACACUUGAUUAUUAUGUGUAUUUGCCACUAGAUAAUUAAAGACACGUUAGUGCGCGAAGAAGAUGCAUCAUUUAUUAUGUAUCAUACACCCAGUCAAGUGUACACACUAAACGUGACUUGACUUGACUUGAAGUAGAGAGACACAUGGUCUAUAAAAAGAAGUUAUACCUGGAGGUAAGAAGAAUAAAAAAAAGUUAUACCUGGAGGUGAGAAGAACCAAAUCCACGCUUUUUCCACUGCCACCGUCCAAGUUAUUUAUACCCUAUAGAAUUUGCAGGUUUGCCUUCCUCUCUCUCUCUUAUUUUUUGCUUAGUUCUUGCUUUCUCCCAGUGGAAUAAGUAUAAAGUUGUGCGAACGUUUGCUCUACAAUUGAUAGAUCUGCUUUAGAUUAGCUCUUAAUUGCAUCCAAAUACUGUGAAUCUCUCUCUCUCUUUCUCUCUCUAAAUAUUUUAUUUUUAAAUAUUCUUAAUCUAAACAUAUUUAAAAGAUAAUUUUGCUAUCAAUUUAGUUUUUUAAUAAGAAAAUAUUUAUUUAUUUUAUUUGAUAUAUUGGGAAAAAUUUUGAAAGCCCUAAACAUGAGGCCAAUAUUGUCAUUUUUAUAAAAAAAAAAAAUAGUUUUAUGGCUGAAUCUUGACAAUAAUUUCAAAAAUAAAAGAGUUCAGUACUAUUUCAGAAAUCACUUAAGAGAUAGUUGUAUUUGUCAUAACCUCGUGGAGGUUAGUAAAUUUACCCUAUUUCAUUUGGUUAGGCGUGCCAAAAUGUGAAAGUGACAAUUCUGGUCAAAUAGUACAUUAAAAUAAAUUUAAUUUUAUAUUAAUAUUAGCUUAUAAAAUAUUUAAAUUAUAUAGGUUCGUGACUCUACAAUUUAAAUUAAUAUUGCAUUUCUUACAUAAAUUAUAAAUUUUGUGUCUUAUAAUCAAAAUCCUCCACCCAAAAUAAAUCUCUUAUGGUCUUGAUGUGUUUUAUGUGGUUUUUUCCAACGUAGACAGAUUUGGCUUUUCCAAACCAAGUGCGAAAUUUGGCAGAAAAGAUUUGGUAAAGUUAUAAGCGUAAUUUUCAUCUUUAGUCCUUGUAUUGUUAUUAAAGUUGCACUUUGAUCCUCAUAGUUUUAAUUUAAAUAAUUAGCACACUUUGAUUUUAAUUUGAUUUCAAUAUAAUCUAUCCAUCAAUACCCGUUAACAAUUUGGACGGAGUGAAAGCUUUCAAAAACUAUAGACAAACUACAGGGACAAAUUAUGAGUCUCAUGUACUCAAUUUCUGUCUAAAUUUUUUAACACUUGUUAUAAUAUGGUCAGACUUUUUGCCUUAAGGCUUGAGAGAGAGUUCUGAGAUGGCAAAAUACUUGGAAUCAACGGUCUUCCUUUUAGCUUCUUUCAUUCCAGAGAAUUAUUCCACUUUAGCCUAUGCUAUUUGGGCAUGCCGCAUGACGGAGAGAAAUGAUUCAAAGGUUCCUAGAGACUAGAGCCCCUUUAGAAUCAUAAUAUUAUAUGCAUUUCUUGGUAGGUCUCCUAGAUGUGUGGUUAUAGAGCUUACCUAUUUAUCAAAAAUUUGGUGUGAGAAAAGAAAAAAAAAUCUAAUUAGUGUAAAAAUCACAUGGCCUAAAGUAGUGCUUCAAGAUUUCUUACAACUACGAUAUGUGAAUAACCAUAAUAUCAAAUUCUUUAAAGAAUUAGGGCAAUAACAUUGAAUAUUCUACCAUUUUUCUUAUCAAAAAAAGAAUAUAAUCGCCAAAUGAGAUUGAACGACCCGGACCCGGGCCGUUAAUGGUAAUCCGCAUAUCGUAUCUCCGAAUAUACUAUCAGAGCGCUAAAGCCUCAAAUAUUCAAUUAUCAGAGUCUUUUUUAUACACGGUCUCCAAAAAAAUUAAUACAAAUAUCAUUAACAUUCAAGUCUUCUCCGACCCAUCUGCACUACCCGGUCACCGCCGCCUGAAAAAUAAUUAAGCGGGAGUAUACACUACAACUGGAAUAUGCUCAAACGAGUACAAUAAUUCAUCAAAGAAUCAUACCCGGUCUUUCCUGGUACGCAAACUGGUGGCCGGCCUCGCCCACUCACUAGCCUUUUGGCUAUUUCCGGUGCCAAGGUUAUUUGCAGACCACCAAAAUCCGUACCAUUCAAUACCAUGGCACUUCAGCCAAUACACAUCAUGAUUUCAACAAUAUCAGGAAUUUCAAUAAAUUUAUGGAUUUCAAUAAACUAUCAACAGCUAGAACAAUGCUCAAAGGGAGUACAAAAUAGAAAUAACUGAGAAAUAACUCCGGAGAUUUAGAAAAAGCAGAUUGUAUACCCCUGCUUACCUCAAAUUAAAAUUGACACAUUUGAUAUGAAGAUCUGCUCCCAUGAUAUCAUACUAAAAUUGUGCCCAAUCGAAUCAUCUCACCGUGUUGAUUCACAUCCUACUUCUAAUGAUUAAAAAUAAAAUACCAUAUAAUUUCUAAACUACAUUUCUUUCUUUCUAUCAGUGUCUUUAUUUCUUUUCUUAAGCCUCUGUUUCUCUUUUCAUUUUAUAGACUUUUGUCUUUCACAGAAGACAAAUCAACCAAGCGGCCAUGCGUGUGUAACCAUUGUGCGUGUCAAAUUAAUUGGUAAAACUUACACUUUAGCCCCUUCAACUUUUAAAUAAUUAUAUUUCUAAAUACCCUUUUUCAUUUACCUCAAAAGUAUUAAUCUUUAAUUAACCCCAAUAAUUCAUAUUUAUUUAUUAAAUACAGAUAAUGAAAGAUUGGGUUAUUACAUUCUUCCCCUUAAAAAGAAUUCGUCCUCGAAAUUAGAAAGUCUUGUUUCAGAAAUACACGUUCCACUGCCCAUCUGACAAAAAAAUUACUUUGGGCAAUCUAACUAAAAUGCAAAAAACCUAUAUCUACGAAGAUCUAUCACCUUAAACAUCCCCACACCGGUCCCAUGUAAGCCAAAGCCUAAGCUUCUGUACCAAAUGGAACGACACGACCCGGGCCGUGAAUGGUACUCGGCAAUAUCGUUCCAAAUAUACUUAUCAAGAGAGUAAAAGCCUCAAAUAUUCAAUUAUAGAGUCUUUAUUAUACAAUGUCUCUAAUAAAAUUAUACAAAUAAUCAUUAAAAUUCAAGUCUUUCUCCUGACCCAUCUCGCACUACCCGGAAUCCCCCGACCGCCUGGAAAAAUAAAAAUAAGCAGGGAAGUAUAAAAUACAACUGGAAUAGAUCAACGAGUCAAUUUUUUUUUUAAUUCAUCAAGACCUCAUACCCGUCGUUCCUGGUCGCAACUGGUGGCGGCCUCGACCACCUCAACCUGCCUUUUCUGGAUAUUUCCGGUGCAAAGGGUAUUUGACAGACUCACCCAGUCCGUACCAUUCAAUACCAUGGCACUUCAGCAAUAACACAUCAUGAUUUCAACAAAUCUAAUGAAUUUCAAUAGGAUAGCAACAGAUAGCACACAUAUCAAAGGGAGUACAAAUCAGAUAAUUGAAGAAAUAAAUCCGGAGAUUUAGAAAGCAUAUUGUAUACCUCAUGCUGACUCAAAUUAAAAUUGAAACCAUUUGAUAUGAAGAUAUGACUCCCAGGAUAUCAUACUAAAAUUGUGCCUCAAUCCGACAUCAUCUCACCGUUGAUUUCACAUCCUACUUCUAACGAUUAAAACUAAUCAUACCAUAUAAUUUCUUAACUCCCUUUCUUCUUUCUAUCAGUCUUUAUUUCUUUCCUUAAGCUCUGUUUCUUUCUUUCAUUUAUAGACUUUUGUCUUUCACAGAAACAAAUCAACCAAGCCGGCCAUGCGUGUGUCACCGUCGUGCGUGUCCAAUUUACUGGCUAAAAUUACACCUUUAGCGCCCCUUAAAACUUUUAAAUAUUAUAUUUUCUAAAUACCCUUUUUAUUUUACCUCAAAAGUUAUUCAAUCUUUUUGUUUUCUAAUUUAACCGCAAUAUUCUAUUAUUUAUUAAAAUCCAGAUAAUGAAAGAUUGGGUUAUUAUAAGUAUAUCCAAACUAGGUUGACACAACCUGAUCAAUCAUGUCCUGUCCAACUCAAAAAUGUGGACAAGUACAACAUCACCACCCCAAUAAAUGUAAGUAAACAAAAUCAAGACAGCCUCGACACACAGAAAAAAAAUCCCCUCCUCUUCAACAAGAACAAAAGGAGUAAAAUUAACUUAAAGGGGAAAUCAGUAAGGCCUGGAUGAUCCCUGGCAGUUCUUCAUAGUAUAAACUUCAUCCAAUUGCAACCAAUUAGAAUCUUGAAAGCCCGAUAUUUUGGUAAGCUAUGACCCAUGAAGCUGUUCUUGAUUAGUUAAAAUCUGCAACUUCAACCCAACUAGACCGGUAGCCUUCAAAAACCAGUUUAUCCAUUGAUAUAGAGCACUCAUAACGUUGCACAAAACAAGGGAUUUCCAUAUAUAUAUAUAUAUAGAUAUAUAUAUAUAUAAUAUUAUAUAUAUUUAUAUAUUGUAAGGGGACACAAAUACACAAUUUACGUCCACCUGACCUUAUUACAGGGACCUCGAACGGUGUCGGGUGAGCAAGCUCGGUCGACCCUGUGCCGGAGUCGUGUUCACAUUCGAGGGAACGCCGGGCCUUGCUAGGGCAGUGAUCUCCGUUCGAGCUGCGAAAACCAUGAGCUCGGGGACCUUCUGCGCCGGAGCUCGGUGCAAUCGCGAUUAAAGGUACCUUCUGAGUCAAAGCUUUCGUUACAUCCGAGGUGCCGCUAGUCAGCGAGCUCUGAAUAAUAACUGUCUUAGAAGUUUGGACGAAGGAUGAUAGCCAGCGUAAUUUCUGAGGGAUGUCAGGGGAUAAAGUGGACUUGCAUGAAAGAAACAUUUUGUAAGCCCAUUCAUUGCAGUCGAUAAGAGACGCCGACAGUUGAUCAUUAGCGACCAGCCACGCCUCAAGGGUAUGGCGGUGUCAGCAGCCUACUCACUGACACAACGAUUGACGUCUAUCGAUACGCGCCGAACCAUAGCCUGUCGAGUGAUGGGACAGCUGGCAUGUCAAGCCGCACACUGGGUUGGAACACAAAAGGGAACGUUGUGGUUCUCAAUGAGGUAGGUGCAAUUGGACUAAGAAAAGGAUACACACUCUCUCUCUCUAAGAUUACUAAUAGUUUUAAUUUAAAUAAUUAGCACCCUUUAGUUUUGAUUUAAUUUCAAUGUAGUUCAUCCAUCAAUAUCCGUUAUCAAUUUGGAUAUAGUAAAAGCUUUCGAAAACUAUGGACAAACUACAGGGACCAAUUAUGAGCUUCCCGUGCUCAAUUUCUCUAAAUUUUUUAACAUGUGUUAUAAUAUGGUCAGACUUUUGCCUUUAGGCUGGGGAGAGAGUUCUGAGAUGGCAUUGGCAUCAAACUGUAUUCCUUUUAGCUUCUUUCCUUCCAGAGAAUUAUUCCACUUUGGUCUAUGCUAUUUGGGCAUGACAGAGAGAUGAUACAGAGAUUCCUAGAGACUAGAGCCACUUUAGAAUCAUAAUAUUAUAUACAGGUCUCUUAGAUGUGUCUGGCUAUAGAGCUUAGGCUUUGUAUUCAUCAAAUAUUUGGUGUGAAAAAUUAAAAAGAAUCUAAUUAGAGUAAAAAUUACUAAAACUAAAGGCCUGAAUUAAUGCACAAUAAAGAUAGUAGUGUUUCAAGAGUUCUUAAUGCACAAUAUUCUGUAAUUUAUGAAGGGUCUUAGAAUUACUCUAUUGGAAAUGGUAUUUUUCUUACCAACAAAAGUUCUUACUAAUGCACAAAAGAGUAACUAAAUUCAGAUCCAAAUGUUCCACAAAGGUAGAAUAGGAGAGUUUUAACAUAAAACCCCACACCUCUUCCCAUUUACAGCUCAAAUCAGCAUUACAUUGUAUCAUUAUAUCUAUGAGAUCUAUUAAACUAUCAGCAGAUUGUCAUAAACAGAAAACCUCCCAAAAUAAGCUUUUACCAAAACUCAAAUUUAUUAUGAGAUACAUUGUAGAUUUCUGAGUGUUGAUAAUAAAAAAUAACCUAAAGAAUCUCAUCCUUUAGAUUUUUUUGUUAAAUGCAAAGGUGUCUAUCGUGUUAAAGUAUCCCCACCAAAACCAUCAAGUUACGAAAGAAUGGAAAAAUUCUAAUCUAGCAAGAGAGGAAACACAAGCAAUUGGGAACUUCAGUUGACAUUAACAAGGACUAGUCACUCUAUGAGGAAAAGGUAGACAACUUGUCUCCCCUAUCCCCAAAUUGUUUCAUCUUUAGAGUUCCCAAAAGCCUUCGACAAGUCAACGAGAGAGCCU